GACGAACGCUGGCGGCGUGCUUAACACAUGCCAGUCGAACGGAAAGGCCCUGCUUUUGUGGGGUGCUCGAGUGGCGAACGGGUGAGUAACACGUGAGUAACCUGCCCUUGACUUUGGGAUAACUUCAGGAAACUGGGGCUAAUACCGGAUAGGAGCUCCUGCUGCAUGGUGGGGGUUGGAAAGUUUCGGCGGUUGGGGAUGGACUCGCGGCUUAUCAGCUUGUUGGUGGGGUAGUGGCUUACCAAGGCUUUGACGGGUAGCCGGCCUGAGAGGGUGACCGGCCACAUUGGGACUGAGAUACGGUCCAGACUCCUACGGGAGGCAGCAGUGGGGAAUAUUGCACAAUGGGCGGAAGCCUGAUGCAGCAACGCCGCGUGCGGGAUGACGGCCUUCGGGUUGUAAACCGCUUUCGCCUGUGACGAAGCGUGAGUGACGGUAAUGGGUAAAGAAGCACCGGCUAACUACGUG
rnacentral:rRNA from 1 species